rnacentral:tRNA from 1 species
GGAAUUGUGGCUUAGUGGUUAGAGUUUGACUUUCAGUCAAAAGCCACGAGUUCAAAACUCGCCUCAUCUA